rnacentral:rRNA from 1 species
AGCGUAGGCGGUCGAUUAAGUUGGAUGUGAAAAGCCCGGGCUUAACUUGGGAGGUGCAUCUGAUACUGGUUGACUAGAGUUCAGGAGAGGGAAGCGGAAUUCCUAGUGUAGCGGUGAAAUGCGUAGAUAUUAGGAGGAACACCAGUGGCGAAGGCGGCUUUCUGGACUGACACUGACGCUGAGGCUCGAAAGCGUGGGGAGCAAACAG